UAUUCUUAUUCAUUUUUCUUCCUCAGAUCCCAAAACUUCAGGCGACAAGAAUUGCAUCUGUGUAGAUGAUGGAUUCUUGAGGAACAUAUUCAUCACUCGUCGAUACUAAAACCAUUCUUACUCUCAUUAUUCGUUUGAUACUUACGGAAGAAGAAGAUGAUGAUGAUGAUGAAACCCUCAUCUUCUUUGUAUAUCCAACUGACACAAUGAUUUUUCCUCUCAAAGCUAAGAUUUCUUUUUUCAUGAUUCUCCGUGGAUCUCUUCCAAUUUUAGCUUCACUCAAUUGUGCAAAAUGGGCAAUUGAAUCCGCAGGUCUUUGUUCUGAUAAAGUAUCAUCCGAGGAAUCUCCAUGAGUCUCUUCUGCACUGCUCCCGUUAAAUAUAAUUGAAAUAGAUCUAUUACAUACUUCUAGGCUGAUUAGUAACGAUGACUCUCAUUGAUAAGCUGCUCCAAAAGCAACCAAUAUGGUGGUCAUGGUAUAGAAAGAGUUGCAGUACCUGUAUUAUCAUUUUUUGUGGUAAGGGUUUGACAAAAUUGUUUAGAAACAUAAGAAGAUGUUUGGACUCCUAUUCUUGUCGCUUCAGAGUACCUCCCUGCAUGUACUUGAAAGCUACUAGUAUAGUGAGAACAAUUGAAACACCUGUCUAAUUUCACCCUACAUACCCUCUCUGGGUCGGACGCAAAUGUAAUUGCAUUACUUGAAUCGAAUCACUUUUCGUUUCGUUUUGGUGAGUAAUGUACAAAUUUCUGAAACCA